rnacentral:rRNA from 1 species
GACGAACGCUGGCGGCGUGCUUAACACAUGCAAGUCGAACGGAAAGGCCCUGCUUUUGUGGGGUGCUCGAGUGGCGAACGGGUGAGUAACACGCGAGUAACCUGCCCCUGACUGUGGGAUAACUUCAGGAAACUGGGGCUAAUACCGGAUAGGAGCUCCUGCUGCAUGGUGGGGGUUGGAAAGUUUCGGCGGUUGUGGAUGGACUCGCGGCUUAUCAGCUUGUUGGUGGGGUAGUGGCUUAACAAGGCUUUGACGGGUAGCCGGCCUGAGAGGGUGACCGGCCACAUUGGGACUGAGAUACGGCCCAGACUCCUACGUGAGGCAGCAGUGGGGAAUAUUGCACAAUGGGCGGAAGCGUGAUGCAGCAACGCCGCGUGCGGGAUGACGGCCUUCGGGUUGUAAACCGCUUUCGCCUGUGACGAAGCGUGAGUGACGGUAAUGGGUAAAGGAGCACCGGCUAACUACGUG